ACUCAAAUGAAUUGACGGGGGCCCGCACAAGCGGUGGAGCAUGUGGUUCAAUUCGACGCAACGCGAAGAACCUUACCCAGGCUUGAACUGCGAGUGACAUCCUCCGAAAGGAGGCUCCCGCAAGGGCACUCGUAGAGGUGCUGCAUGGCUGUCGUCAGCUCGUGUCGUGAGAUGUUGGGUUAAGUCCCGCAACGAGCGCAACCCUUGUCUGCUGUUGCCAUCAGGUUAUGCUGGGCACUCUGCAGAGACUGCCGGUGAUAAACCGGAGGAAGGUGGGGAUGACGUCAAGUCAGCAUGGCCUUUAUGUCUGGGGCUACACACGUGCUACAAUGGCCGAUACAAACCGUCGCAAAACCGCAAGGUGGAGCUAAUCGGAGAAAGUCGGUCUCAGUUCGGAUAGCAGGCUGCAACUCGCCUGCUUGAAGUUGGAAUCGCUAGUAAUCGCGGAUCAGCACGCCGCGGUGAAUACGUUCCCGGGCCUUGUACACACCGCCCGU
rnacentral:rRNA from 1 species